UUAUCAUCCUGCCAUUUAAUUAAAAAAAAAGAAACAGUCGGCCACGCUUGCCACAAAAAUCAUUCCGGGGGAUUAAUCACAUAUUUCCCCCAUUUAUUUUAUUCUAAUAUUGCUGUUUUUUACGUUAUACACAAACAUACACGUAGCGAUUCAAAAUUAAAUAUGGCUGAUUUGGACGAUUUCUUCGCGAAAAAAGAUCGCAAGAAGUCAAAGUCGGUCAAAAAGUUUGCGACGGCAGAUGAACUUACGAAAAAAUUGGACGACGGCAAACAGAAAACGGAUGUGAGACCUAAGAAGGAACGACCGGCACAAGAAGGCGAAGAGACUGGACGAGGACCGGAAGAGGAAGAAUGGAAGGAGUACGAGGAGCCAGUCAAGGACUACACAGGGCUCAAGAUCCAAGUGCUGCAGGGCAGCGCGGGUGUGCAAGAGUCGGGAAGGGACUCCUCCGCAGAGGACUCAAUGCCCGAUAACCCUAAGAACAAGGGACCAUGGAAUAAACCUCAAGUGGAAACGGAACAAGCGCCGGCCGCUAGGCCUCCGCCCCCGCCGGUGGAGGAGGUGAAGCCCCGCGCGCCCACCGCGUACGUGCCGCCCGUGGCGCGCAACCGGCCCUGCGACGGGCCCGUGCGUAGGACGCAGAACAAGAACCCGCUGGACAUCCACAACGAGGACUACUUCCCGGUGCUCGGCGCGGGGGCGAAGCGCGGCGGCGGCUGGAGCACCGCGGGCACGGGCGGCGCCGGCGGCACGCACACGCGCCCCGCAGCGCACGCGCAGCCCCUCGCGCUCGGCAACCGCUUCACCUCGCUGCAGGACGACAGCUAGCCAGGUGACACACACACCAACCGCUUCACCUCGCUGCAGGACGACAGCUAGCCAGGUCACAGAAGGCAGUUCCGCAACGAUAAAUAUUAAAGUGAAGUGUCAUUAUGGACUUUAAGCAAGCCUGGCAUAGCGAUUCCCACAUUAUACAUAGCAUACAAACUGCGCACUUCCAGUGUUAUCAACUCUGUUAAAUAUAUAUCCUCGACGGUUGCUGACCUCAUUUCCACCGUGCGACAGUUUUGUCACAAAAAAAAAAGAAAAAAUACACGAAAGUCAGUGUGGGCUACGCCUCAUUAUUGCUCAUAUAUUAUCUGUGCAAAAAUCGGCCAGUACCUAUGUUCCAGUCAUAGACAAUAAAUAUUCCAUAUUCAGUGUUGCUAGCUAAAAUAUUAAUAAAAAUGGCGACUGUCAAAAAAAAUCGAAAAACCCGAAAACGGAAGUGUGCCUUUAAGUUUGUUACUUUUUUAUGUUUAUAUUUAAAAAGUAAUUAAUACAGUGUCAUGAUUGUUGCGUGGAUGAGGGAAUUUCGAUGAAUUAUAAAAUGGCGGAUUUUUAGUGUUAAAGCGUGGGUCGACUGCGCGGAAAUUGUUUGAUAGAAAGAUUGAAAAUCCGAUAUAUUAUUAUGAAAUAGUUUGGUUGGCUACCUCUGUAUGUUGAACAGUAAAAAUGUUUAUAAACUUGUCGGCAAAUCAUUCAGAACAUGUACCAUAGAAAUAAAUUAUGUAUUUAA